rnacentral:rRNA from 1 species
GACGAACGCUGGCGGCGUGCUUAACACAUGCAAGUCGAACGGUAAGGCCCUUCGGGGUACACGAGUGGCGAACGGGUGAGUAACAACGUGGGUGAUCUGCCCUGCACUUCGGGAUAAGCCUGGGAAACUGGGUCUAAUACCGGAUAGGACCAAUGGACUUCACGGUUUGUGGUGGAAAGCUUUUGCGGUGUGGGAUGGGCCCGCGGCCUAUCAGCUUGUUGGUGGGGUAAUGGCCUACCAAGGCGACGACGGGUAGCCGGCCUGAGAGGGUGUCCGGCCACACUGGGACUGAGAUACGGCCCAGACUCCUACGGGAGGCAGCAGUGGGAAUAUUGCACAAUGGGCGCAAGCCUGAUGCAGCGACGCCGCGUGAGGGAUGACGGCCU